rnacentral:rRNA from 1 species
UACGGAGGGUGCGAGCGUUGUUCGGAAUUAUUGGGCGUAAAGCGCGCGCAGGCGGCCUGGGAAGUCUAUGGGUGAAAUGCCGGAGCUCAACUCCGAGCGUGCCCAGGAUACUCUCAGGCUGGAGACACGUAGAGGCAAGCGGAAUUCCGGGUGUAGCGGUGGAAUGCGUAGAGAUCCGGAAGAACACCGGAGGCGAAGGCGGCUUGCUGGGCGUGAUCUGACGCUGAGGCGCGAAAGCGUGGGGAGCGAACAGGAUUAGAAACCCCGGUAGUCC